GACGAACGCUGGCGGCGUGCUUAACACAUGCAAGUCGAACGGUGAAAGCGGAGCUUGCUCCGCUGGAUCAGUGGCGAACGGGUGAGUAACACGUGGGCAACCUGCCCCUCACUUCGGGAUAACUCCGGGAAACCGGGGCUAAUACCGGAUAUGACCUCCUUGGGCAUCCUUGGAGGUGGUAAGUUUUUCGGUGAGGGAUGGGCCCGCGGCCUAUCAGCUUGUUGGUGAGGUAGUGGCUCACCAAGGCGACGACGGGUAGCCGGCCUGAGAGGGGGACCGGCCACACUGGGACUGAGACACGGCCCAGACUCCUACGGGAGGCAGCAGUGGGGAAUAUUGCGCAAUGGGCGAAAGCCUGACGCAGCAACGCCGCGUGCGGGAUGACGGCCUUCGGGUUGUAAACCGCUUUCAGCAGGGAAGAAGCCGCAAGGUGACGGUACCUGCAGAAGAAGCACCGGCUAACUGCGUGCCAGCCGCCGCGGUAA
rnacentral:rRNA from 1 species